CUGCCUGAGACCGGUCCAGUACCCUGGAAACCCCUGACAUUCUCUUGUCCCCUUUGUGACAGCCUCCAAGCUCCAGUGAGGUGGGCGAGGGAACCUCCUGCCAUCCCACCAGGACAUCAGGACCCCCAGCCUCUGGACGUCAGGCCUCCUUAGGGCUGCCUCCUCUGACAUCUGCCUGUAGGAAGAGCCAGCUACAUUACCCAAGCCAGGCUGUCUGUGGCCUUGGGAAGUGCCUUUGCCUGAUUAGAAGUGGAAGCUGAGGCUGGGAGAUGGCCAUCAACUUGCCCUAGAUCAACCAAGUGUAGGAAGUAUUAGAUCCAGCGCUGGAGGCAAGAGCAGGAGACACCACAUAUGAUCUGGCACACACAUCUAUCUGUGUCUUCAGAGAUGGCGAAAGACAUCCUGGGACCUGAGCCCAGCCCACCCCCAGGACCUUUCUCCCAGUCCCAGGGGCCACAGCCAGGUGCUGUGACAAGCUCCAAAGAGAUCCUUCUCCCACUUUCUCCCCACGCCCGCUCCUAACAAUGACCAGACAGAGGCAAGAAUUAUGCAACUCAGAUAAUGAAGCUGUAUUGAUUGCCAGGAGGGGGUGAGGGUGAAGCAGGGUCCAGGUGUGAAGUGCUUGGUGGACAGGAGAGGGAAUCUUCUACUGGGAUCUGUGUCCACACUGGGAGCCUCCUAGGCCGGAGCAGGGCUGGGCAGCCUCAGUUCUUGGUGCGAAGGACCUGCUCGUGGGUGGACACCACCUUGCCAUCGUGCACAUCCAUGACCUUGGUGCGGAUCUGGCGGCUGGAGGAGGUCACUGGGGAAGAGGCAGGGAGAGGGCGUUACCAGAGGCGGACAAUGGGCUCAUCAAGAGUGGGGAGGCCAAGAAGGUGAGGAAACUCCAACUGUCUCCCUGUUGCCCUUUCCCCGAUUACUGUUUCA